rnacentral:rRNA from 1 species
AGAGUUUGAUCCUGGCUCAGGAUGAACGCUGGCGGCGUGCCUAACACAUGCAAGUCGAACGAAGCAUUUAUCAUGAAGUUUUCGGAUGGAUUGAUAACUGACUUAGUGGCGGACGGGUGAGUAACGCGUGGGCAACCUGCCUCAUACAGGGGGAUAACAGCUGGAAACGGCUGCUAAAACCGCAUAAGCGCACAGUAUCGCAUGGUACGGUGUGAAAAUAUUUAUAGGUAUGAGAUGGGCCCGCGUCUGAUUAGCUAGUUGGUAAGGUAACGGCUUACCAAGGCGACGAUCAGUAGCCGGCUUGAGAGAGUGACCGGCCACAUUGGGACUGAGACACGGCCCAAACUCCUACGGGAGGCAGCAGUGGGGAAUAUUGCACAAUGGGGGAAACCCUGAUGCAGCGACGCCGCGUGAGUGAAGAAGUAUUUCGGUAUGUAAAGCUCUAUCAGCAGGGAAGAAAAUGACGGUACCUGACUAAGAAGCCCCGGCUAACUACGUGCCAGCAGCCGCGGUAAUACGUAGGGGGCAAGCGUUAUCCGGAUUUACUGGGUGUAAAGGGAGCGUAGGUGGCAUGGUAAGUCAGAUGUGAAAGCCCGGGGCUCAACCCCGGGACUGCAUUUGAAACUAUCAUGCUAGAGUGCAGGAGAGGUAAGUGGAAUUCCUAGUGUAGCGGUGAAAUGCGUAGAUAUUAGGAGGAACACCAGUGGCGAAGGCGGCUUACUGGACUGUAACUGACACUGAGGCUCGAAAGCGUGGGGAGCAAACAGGAUUAGAUACCCUGGUAGUCCACGCCGUAAACG